UAGUCAUAUGCUUGUCUCAAAGACUAAGCCAUGCAUGUCUAAGUAUAAACACUUUUAUACUGCGAAACUGCGAAUGGCUCAUUAAAUCAGUUAUAAUCUACUUGAUCGUAUAAUCUUACUUGGAUAACCGUAGUAAUUCUAGAGCUAAUACAUGCAAAAAGUCCUGACUGGCGACGGAAGGGAUGUAUUUAUUAGGUACAAAAUCAAUGCUGGCCAUUCCAAACUGCGGGUAAAACCGUGGGGUCAGAUUCCUUGAUGAUUCAUAAUAACUAAAC
rnacentral:rRNA from 1 species